rnacentral:rRNA from 1 species
AGCGAACGCUGGCGGCAGGCCUAACACAUGCAAGUCGAACGAACCUUUCGGGGUUAGUGGCGGACGGGUGAGGAACACGUGGGAACGUGCCUUUAGGUUGGGAAUAACUCAGGGAAACUUGUGCUAAAACCGAACGUGCCCUUCGGGGGAAAGAUUUAUCGCCUUUAGUGUGGCCCGCGUCUGAUUAGCUAGUUGGUUGAGGUAAUGGCUCACCAAGGCGUCGUUCAGUAGCUGGUCUGAGAGGAUGAUCAGCAACAUUGGGACUGAGACACGGCCCAAACUCCUACGGGAGGCAGCAGUGGGGAAUCUUGCGCAAUGGGCGAAAGCCUGACGCAGCCAUGCCGCGUGAAUGAUGAAGGUCUUAGGAUUGUAAAAUUCUUUCACCGGGGACGAUAAUGACGGUACCCGGAGAAGAAGCCCCGGCUAACUUCGUG